rnacentral:rRNA from 1 species
AUGAACGCUAGCGGCAGGCUUAACACAUGCAAGUCGAGGGGCAGCGGGGAGUAGCAAUACUCCGCCGGCGACCGGCGCACGGGUGCGUAACGCGUAUGCAACCUACCUUUAACAGGGGCAUAACACUGAGAAAUUGGUACUAAUUCCCCAUAACAUUCGAGAAGGCAUCUUCUUGGGUUAAAAACUCCGGUGGUUAAAGAUGGGCAUGCGUUGUAUUAGCUAGUUGGUGAGGUAACGGCUCACCAAGGCGACGAUACAUAGGGGGACUGAGAGGUUAACCCCCCACAUUGGUACUGAGACACGGACCAAACUCCUACGGGAGGCAGCAGUGAGGAAUAUUGGUCAAUGGACGCAAGUCUGAACCAGCCAUGCCGCGUGCAGGAAGACGGCUCUAUGAGUUGUAAACUGCUUUUGUACUAGGGUAAACGCUCUUACGUGUAGGAGCCUGAAAGUAUAGUACGAAUAAGGAUCGGCUAACUCCGUGCCAGCAGCCGCGGUAAUACGGAGGAUCCAAGCGUUAUCCGGAUUUAUUGGGUUUAAAGGGUGCGUAGGCGGUUUGAUAAGUUAGAGGUGAAAUACCGGGGCUCAACUCCGGAACUGCCUCUAAUACUGUUGAACUAGAGAGUAGUUGCGGUAGGCGGAAUGUAUGGUGUAGCGGUGAAAUGCUUAGAGAUCAUACAGAACACCGAUUGCGAAGGCAGCUUACCAAACUAUAUCUGACGUUGAGGCACGAAAGCGUGGGGAGCAAACAGGAUUAGAUACCCUGGUAGUCCACGCAGUAAACGAUGAUAACUCGUUGUCGGCGAUACACAGUCGGUGACUAAGCGAAAGCGAUAAGUUAUCCACCUGGGGAGUACGUUCGCAAGAAUGAAACUCAAAGGAAUUGACGGGGGCCCGCACAAGCAGUGGAGUAUGUGGUUUAAUUCGACGCAACGCGAAGAACCUUACCAAGGCUUGACAUAUACAGGAAUAACUAAGAAAUUAGUUAGCUCUUCGGAGUCUGUAUACAGGUGGUGCAUGGUUGUCGUCAGCUCGUGUCGUGAGAUGUUGGGUUAAGUCCCGCAACGAGCGCAACCCCUGUUUCUAGUUGCCAGCACGUAAAGGUGGGAACUCUAGAGAGACUGCCGGUGAUAAAUCGGAGGAAGGUGGGGACGACGUCAAAUCAUCAUGCCCCUUAUGUCCUGGGCUACACACGUAAUACAAUGGCGGUCAACAGAGGGAUGCAAAACCGUAAGGUGGAGCGAACCCCUAAAAGCCGUCUCAGUUCAGAUUGUGGGCUGCAACCCGCCCACAUGAAGUCGGAAUCGCUAGUAAUCGCGGAUCAGCAUGCCGCGGUGAAUACGUUCCCGGGCCUUGUACACACCGCCCGUCACACCAUGAGAGUCGGGAAUACCCGAAGCCUGUGAGCCAACAUAUUUAUAUGAGGCAGCAGUCGAAGGUAGAAUCGAUGAUUGGGGUG